rnacentral:tRNA from 1 species
CGGAAUGUAGCACAGCUUGGUAGUGCGUUCGCUUCGGGAGCGAAAGGUCGCCGGUUCGAAUCCGACCAUUCCGACCA